rnacentral:rRNA from 1 species
CCUACGGGAGGCAGCAGUGGGGAAUAUUGCACAAUGGGGGAAACCCUGAUGCAGCAACGCCGCGUGAGCGAUGAAGGCCUUCGGGUCGUAAAGCUCUGUCCUAAGGGAAGAAUACUGACGGUACCUUAGGAGGAAGCCCCGGCUAACUACGUGCCAGCAGCCGCGGUAAUACGUAGGGGGCUAGCGUUAUCCGGAAUUACUGGGCGUAAAGGGUGCGUAGGCGGCCCUUCAAGUCAGAGGUGAAAGGCUCCGGCUCGACCGUAGUAAGCCUUUGAAACUGUAGGGCUUGAGUGCAGGAGAGGAGAGGAGAAUUUCCAGUGUAGCGGUGAAAUGCGUAGAUAGUGGGAGGAACACCAGCCGCGAAGGCGUGUCUCUGGACUGUAACUGGCGCUGAGGCACGAAAGCGUGGGGAGCGAACAGGAUUGGAUCCACUAGUAGAU